GAUGAACGCUGGCGGCGUGCCUAAUACAUGCAAGUCGAGCGAACGGACGAGAAGCUUGCUUCUCUGAUGUUAGCGGCGGACGGGUGAGUAACACGUGGAUAACCUACCUAUAAGACUGGGAUAACUUCGGGAAACCGGAGCUAAUACCGGAUAAUAUUUUGAACCGCAUGGUUCAAAAGUGAAAGACGGUCUUGCUGUCACUUAUAGAUGGAUCCGCGCUGCAUUAGCUAGUUGGUAAGGUAACGGCUUACCAAGGCAACGAUGCAUAGCCGACCUGAGAGGGUGAUCGGCCACACUGGAACUGAGACACGGUCCAGACUCCUACGGGAGGCAGCAGUAGGGAAUCUUCCGCAAUGGGCGAAAGCCUGACGGAGCAACGCCGCGCGAGUGAUGAAGGUCUUCGGAUCGUAAAACUCUGUUAUUAGGGAAGAACAUAUGUGUAAGUAACUGUACACAUCUUGACGGUACCUAAUCAGAAAGCCACGGCUAACUACGUG
rnacentral:rRNA from 1 species